rnacentral:rRNA from 1 species
AAUCAACGCUGGCGGCGUGCCUAACACAUGCAAGUCGAACGCGAAAGCCCCUUCGGGGGUAAGUAGAGUGGCGUCCGGGUGAGUAACACGUAGGUAAUCUACCUUCGGGUGGGGAAUAACCAGUCGAAAGAUUGGCUAAUACCGCAUAAUGCAGCGGCACCUAAUGGUGAUUAGUUGUUAAAGCGGGGGAUCGUAAGACCUCGCGCCUGAAGAGGAGCCUGCGGCAGAUUAGCNGUUGGUGAGGUAAUGGCUCACCAAGGCAUCGAUCCGUAGCCGGCCUGAGAGGGCGGUCGGCCACACUGACACUGACAUACGGGUCAGACUCCUACGGGAGGCAGCAGUCGGGAAUUUUGGGC